UACAGAGGGUGCGAGCGUUAAUCGGAAUUACUGGGCGUAAAGCGUGCGUAGACGGCUAUCUAAGUCGGGUGUGAAAGCCCCGGGCUCAACCUGGGAAUUGCAUUCGAGACUGAAUAGCUAGGGUACGGUAGAGGGAAGUGGAAUUUCCGGUGUAGCGGUGAAAUGCGUAGAUAUUAGGAAGAACACCAGUGGCGAAGGCGGCUCACUGGUCCGGUACUGACGCUGAGGUGCGAAAGCGUGGGGAGCAAACAGG
rnacentral:rRNA from 1 species